rnacentral:lncRNA from 1 species
AAAGAGGGAAGCAUUUGGAUGACACUAGACUUAAUUUCAAAAUGUGCAGCAGCGGUGGUAUCAGGUAGUCGAAUACAAGAUGGAGAGAUAUAAAUGGAAGGAGUGAAGUACUCCUUUAGGAGUUUGGAUUGUUCUUCAGCCAUCUCUAUAAGUGGAGCAGAUCCUAUGGUUCUAUAGGUGCGGAUUUCAGCUCGAAGGUCCCUAAUAGAACGCUCUAUUUCAGAGUCAAAAGGUACUAAUUUGGGAGAUUUGGAACGACACCCUAGCAUACACUAAGACUCCUCUGAUCAGUACAGUCAAGCAUGCACUAAAAAGAAAAACACAAUUCCUUAUGUUCACCCUAAAAUCACUAGACAGCUUCUAACUGGUUUGAAGAGGGCACCUAAGCCUCCAAUCC